rnacentral:rRNA from 1 species
CAUGCAAGUCGAGCGGAGAUGAGGUGCUUGCACCUUAUCUUAGCGGCGGACGGGUGAGUAAUGCUUAGGAAUCUGCCUAUUAGUGGGGGACAACAUUCCGAAAGGAAUGCUAAUACCGCAUACGUCCUACGGGAGAAAGCAGGGGAUCUUCGGACCUUGCGCUAAUAGAUGAGCCUAAGUCGGAUUAGCUAGUUGGUGGGGUAAAGGCCUACCAAGGCGACGAUCUGUAGCGGGUCUGAGAGGAUGAUCCGCCACACUGGGACUGAGACACGGCCCAGACUCCUACGGGAGGCAGCAGUGGGGAAUAUUGGACAAUGGGGGGAACCCUGAUCCAGCCAUGCCGCGUGUGUGAAGAAGGCCUUAUGGUUGUAAAGCACUUUAAGCGAGGAGGAGGCUACUGAGACUAAUACUCUUGGAUAGUGGACGUUACUCGCAGAAUAAGCACCGGCUAACUCUGUGCCAGCAGCCGCGGUAAUACAGAGGGUGCGAGCGUUAAUCGGAUUUACUGGGCGUAAAGCGUGCGUAGGCGGCUUUUUAAGUCGGAUGUGAAAUCCCCGAGCUUAACUUGGGAAUUGCAUUCGAUACUGGGAAGCUAGAGUAUGGGAGAGGAUGGUAGAAUUCCAGGUGUAGCGGUGAAAUGCGUAGAGAUCUGGAGGAAUACCGAUGGCGAAGGCAGCCAUCUGGCCUAAUACUGACGCUGAGGUACGAAAGCAUGGGGAGCAAACAGGAUUAGAUAC